GUCGAGAUCCCGACCUCGAUCUAAAAUUGAAGUAACAGCUCUGAAUCCUGAGCUCGGCCUCGAUCUGAGAUUGGCAGAGUUGAAGAAAUUAAAGAAGAAUGGUUCUUUCCUCUCAAGCCCCACCGAAGUCGGGGUUGGAGCCCUAAACCCGAACACAGCAACCCAGCUGCACUCAACUGCACCGUUUCUGACUCUCUCCAUGACUCCGUGUCUUCGUCUCCGCCGUUUCUGACUCUCCGUCUCCGCCUCUCCGGUCUCCCAUCUCCGAGUCUCCGUCUCCGAGCUCCAGAUUGGACGGUCUGGAGGUUGAAAUGUUUUUCUUGGCGAUUUGGUGAUUGAGGAUUUGGCAAGCAUGGCAGAAGUACAUUGAUAUUGUUAGUGAGCUAUAUCGAUCCUACUUGGACUGAUGGUUUGAUUGUGAAGAGCAAAGGUGGAGAUGGUAGCUCGAUUGGUAAUGAUUCAAAAAGAUCAAUGGGACCGGUUUUCAGCACUUCUGUUUAUGAGGAGGGAUCUGAAAAUGAUUUGUAAGCUUCUUCACUACUGCUAACUAUGGGAGGUUUGAUAUAUUAGGAGUUCAUUGUUAUAUCUACAUGGUUUUUGAUGCUUUAAGUUCUGCUGAAACUGUCAUAAUCAUGUUCAGCAUUUUUUGUAUGCUUGAGUUAGCUUUUUUGUUGUUUAAUUUAUCAGCUCAGUUUGCGAACUAGAAGUGGAGAUUACUUGUAUCUUGGAAUAGUGAUUGUGGUGGUCUUGUGUCUUGUCUGUGAACACUAUAAGUUGCACAAUUGGAAGGCUGAUUGAGUACUUGGUACUAAUUAUGUGAAGUUUUAUACACGAUCUGACCUUGCUCUUUGUGUAUAAAAAAAGAUUCACGUACAAUGUAAAUUUGAACUUGCUAUGCUAUGUCUAAUGUGAAUUUAGUUCAACUUCUAUUGUUCAUAAUACUCCAACUCCUGAAGAGGUAUAUUCGACAUUUGUUCUAUCCUCCUUUUUAUUAUGUCCAAAAAUAUGUGGAGGAGAUGGACUACAAUCAUUUCUGACUACUUUUGGAACUGCUACGGUUCUUAUGGAAGACAAUGGUGAAGAAUUUGGUCAUCUUGGGAGGAACAGACCUUCACUGAGGUUGCAAGAAUAGAGGCAUGGAAUCAGAUUUCUUGCAUUUUAAACAUACAGUGUUCUCUAACUAGCUGAACAGAAAAUAAUUAUAAGCUGGAAGUCUUCGAGCAAGCAAGAUUGGUAAAUGAGAAGAAACUUGAUUUGGGACCAAGUUUGUGGUACUCAACAAGAGAAGAUCAGCAAAUACUGAACCCCUUGCAUUCAAAUCCAAACAUCAGUAACUACAGUUGCACUAUGCAUACUGUGCAGUAGACGACAGAUAUCUUCAAAUAAUUUCAGAAGGCUGAGGGAUGAUGAGUGCAGUUUAUGUGAAUUUGUGCCUCUUUUGGGGAACAUGGUGUCCGUUGAAUCACUGCAGUUAUGUUUUGUCAUGAAAACCAAAGAGUACUCCAGAAGGAUUAAUGAUAUAUUGUGAAGAUCAAGUAAGGUUUCUCAAGGGGUGUGCACUAAGAGAUGUGCGUAGACAGACCUGAAUCAUCAUCUGUUAGUUGCCUAGCUUGUCGAAGAGGAAGGUUGGGGAGCCCAAUAAGGAGGAAAAUGUAACUCUUGGACCUGAGGUGGAGAGAACUUUUUUGGAGUUGAUACUCAUAUUUAUGCAUCCACUCUUUGAGUGAUCCCUUCAUUUUUGUGAUGGACUUGCAAAUGCUACCAAGCAUGCUUGCAGCACAGUAUGUAUCUACAUGGUGCAAGAUGCUUGCAUAUAGAGCUCAGGGCUGCUAGUCCAGGUGCUGAAUCAGCAAUGCGAGCACUUGAUCUUGCUGACAUGCCCAAUUUCCACCAACUGUAGCCACUGAAAGCUUGGCGGGCACUCUGGGACAUAUAUAGAAGGUUGACAUUUCUCAAAUGUGAGGUUUCAGAUGUUGCUCUCAUUUCUCGUACAUUUGGGUUUGGUUGGAGGUGAAACCAAUUCUGUCUCAAAGUUGCAAAGACAGGCAAGGCCCAGACUGGUCCAAGAUUUCUCACAUCCCAAACAUCAAAAUUGAUCGCAAAAUUGUACAAAAAGAUGGAGUCUGGAUUUGAUCGCCCAUCUGAUUUCUUGGGCACAGAAGAAAUUGAUUGCAAUGAAACAGUGGAACUGCAGAAAUGAUCCAAAAGUCUCAUUUGAGUUCUCGUUCAAGACUUUCGUGUCAUGCUGACCUCAGUAUAGUAUGGCAGAUUGAAGACUUUGUGCAACUCCGUUUAAUGUGUUUGGGAAUUUCAUAUUCUCACCCAGUCAUAUCACCCUCCAGGAUAUCAUCACUCCUCUUCUUUUUUAUACCGCAGCUCCUUAAAAGCGGCUCCAGAUUUUCAAGGAAUAUUGGAAAGGUGGAAGCCUGGAAUCUCAUUGGAUGUGACCUCUUUGCUGUAGGCCAAAUUGAGGUCUCUUUCUUGUCACUCAGUUCAUUAUGUUUAGGAUUUGACAUCCUUAAUUAAGAAACUUCGACUCAAUUCGUCAAUCACUUCUAUUGUUCGUAAUACUCUAGCUUCUGGAGAGGUAUAUUU